UCCGGUGAUUAUAGCGCAAGGGUUCCACCCGAUCCCAUUCCGAACUCGGAAGUUAAGACUUGUUGCGCCGAUGGUACUGCACGGGAGACUGUGUGGGAGAGUAGGAAGUCGCCGGUA
rnacentral:rRNA from 1 species